rnacentral:rRNA from 1 species
AGGAUAAACGCUGGCGGCGUGCCUAACACAUGCAAGUCGAACGUCUCUUCUUUCGGGAAGAGGAGUGGCGGACGGGUGAGGAACACGUGGGAACCUGCCCUACAGUGAGGAAUACCGGCGAGAAAUCGCCGACAAGACCGCAUAGCCCUCUCUGGUGAGAGCCAGAGAAGGAAAGCUUCGCAAGAGGCGCUGGAGGAGGGGCCUGCGUCCGAUUAGCUAGUUGGUGGGGUAAGAGCCUACCAAGGCGUCGAUCGGUAGCUGGUCUGAGAGGACGAUCAGCCACACUGGGAUUGAGAACGGCCCAGACUCCUACGGGGGGCAGCAGUGAGGAAUUUUCGGCAAUGGGGGAAACCCUGACCGAGCAACGCCGCGUGCAGGAAGACGGCCUCGGUUGUAACUGCUUUCUUUGGGACGAGCAAGGACGGUACCAGAGGAAUCAGCCCGGCUCACUACGUGCCAGCAGCCGC